rnacentral:lncRNA from 1 species
AUCUGUCACCUUGUGUACAGCAAGAAAGGGGAAAAACUGGAGAGGAGGACGAUGCAGUUGCGAACUGAGGAGGCACCUGAUGGGACAGGAGAAAGUGUGCCAUGGGGAUGGGAGCACAGAUUCAGCAUGGCUGGAGGGGAAAGGAGGAAGCAUGCGUCAUACAUCAUUUGCUCCUGAUCCAGGAGAGCCCUCCGCCACCAAUGAAAGAAAAGGUGGGUGAGCCCUAGACGUGAUCCACGCACCUACUCAACAAGGCAGAACGGAUUUCAGUUUAGCAUUCUCUUUUUGAAAAUGCCACCUUGACUGCUGCAGGCUUUUCAUCUCCUUUCUUUGCUUUUGCUGCUUAGAGGCAAGUCUUGCUGCACGAGCUUGCAAGGAAGCCUUCUCAGGGGUGUCGACCUACGAUGUAAAACCAAGUG